ACCGUCCCAUUGUAGCACGUGUGUAGCCCAGGGUCAUAAAGGGGCAUGAAUGAUUUGACGUCAUCCCCACCUUCCUCCGGUUUGUCACCGGCAGUCACCUUAGAGUGCCCAACUUAAUGAUGGCAAUAAGAUCAAGGGUUGCGCUCGUUGCGGGACUUAACCCAACAUCUCACGACACGAGCUGACGACAACCAUGCACCACCUGUCACUAUGCUCCCGAAGGAGAAGCCCUAUCUCUAGGGUUGUCAGAGGAUGUCAAGACCUGGUAAGGUUCUUCGCGUUGCUUCGAAUUAAACACAUGCUCCACCGCUUGUGCGGGCCCCCGUCAAUUCCUUUGAGUUUCAGCCUUGCGGCCGUACUCCCCAGGCGGAGUGCUUAAUGCGUUAACUUCAGCAUAAAGGGCGGAAACCCUCCAACACAGAGCACUCAUCGUUUACGGCGUGGACUACCAGG
rnacentral:rRNA from 1 species